AAAUUGAAGAGUUUGAUCAUGGCUCAGAUUGAACGCUGGCGGCAGGCCUAACACAUGCAAGUCGAGCGGUAGCACAGAGAGCUUGCUCUCGGGUGACGAGCGGCGGACGGGUGAGUAAUGUCUGGGAAACUGCCUGAUGGAGGGGGAUAACUACUGGAAACGGUAGCUAAUACCGCAUAAUGUCGCAAGACCAAAGUGGGGGACCUUCGGGCCUCAUGCCAUCAGAUGUGCCCAGAUGGGAUUAGCUAGUAGGUGGGGUAAUGGCUCACCUAGGCGACGAUCCCUAGCUGGUCUGAGAGGAUGACCAGCCACACUGGAACUGAGACACGGUCCAGACUCCUACGGGAGGCAGCAGUGGGGAAUAUUGCACAAUGGGCGCAAGCCUGAUGCAGCCAUGCCGCGUGUGUGAAGAAGGCCUUCGGGUUGUAAAGCACUUUCAGCGGGGAGGAAGGCGAUAAGGUUAAUAACCUUGUCGAUUGACGUUACCCGCAGAAGAAGCACCGGCUAACUCCGUGCCAGCAGCCGCGGUAAUACGGAGGGUGCAAGCGUUAAUCGGAAUUACUGGGCGUAAAGCGCACGCAGGCGGUCUGUCAAGUCGGAUGUGAAAUCCCCGGGCUCAACCUGGGAACUGCAUUCGAAACUGGCAGGCUAGAGUCUUGUAGAGGGGGGUAGAAUUCCAGGUGUAGCGGUGAAAUGCGUAGAGAUCUGGAGGAAUACCGGUGGCGAAGGCGGCCCCCUGGACAAAGACUGACGCUCAGGUGCGAAAGCGUGGGGAGCAAACAGGAUUAGAUACCCUGGUAGUCCACGCCGUAAACGAUGUCGAUUUGGAGGUUGUGCCCUUGAGGCGUGGCUUCCGGAGCUAACGCGUUAAAUCGACCGCCUGGGGAGUACGGCCGCAAGGUUAAAACUCAAAUGAAUUGACGGGGGCCCGCACAAGCGGUGGAGCAUGUGGUUUAAUUCGAUGCAACGCGAAGAACCUUACCUGGUCUUGACAUCCACAGAACUUUCCAGAGAUGGAUUGGUGCCUUCGGGAACUGUGAGACAGGUGCUGCAUGGCUGUCGUCAGCUCGUGUUGUGAAAUGUUGGGUUAAGUCCCGCAACGAGCGCAACCCUUAUCCUUUGUUGCCAGCGGUCCGGCCGGGAACUCAAAGGAGACUGCCAGUGAUAAACUGGAGGAAGGUGGGGAUGACGUCAAGUCAUCAUGGCCCUUACGACCAGGGCUACACACGUGCUACAAUGGCAUAUACAAAGAGAAGCGACCUCGCGAGAGCAAGCGGACCUCAUAAAGUAUGUCGUAGUCCGGAUUGGAGUCUGCAACUCGACUCCAUGAAGUCGGAAUCGCUAGUAAUCGUAGAUCAGAAUGCUACGGUGAAUACGUUCCCGGGCCUUGUACACACCGCCCGUCACACCAUGGGAGUGGGUUGCAAAAGAAGUAGGUAGCUUAACCUUCGGGAGGGCGCUUACCACUUUGUGAUUCAUGACUGGGGUGAAGUCGUAACAAGGUAACCGUAGGGGAACCUGCGGUUGGAUCACCUCCUUA
rnacentral:rRNA from 1 species